UACAGAGGGUGCGAGCGUUGUCCGGAAUCACUGGGCGUAAAGGGCGCGUAGGUGGCGCCGCAAGUCCAUGGUGAAAGCUCGAUCGCUCAACAUCGAGUCGGCCACGGAGACUGCGGGGCUCGAGCACUGUAGGGGCAGAUGGAAUUCCGGGUGUAGCGGUGGAAUGCGUAGAGAUCCGGAAGAACACCGGUGGCGAAGGCGGUCUGCUGGGCAGUUGCUGACACUGAGGCGCGACAGCGUGGGGAGCAACAGG
rnacentral:rRNA from 1 species